AACGGAGGGGGCUAGCGUUAUUCAUCAUUACUGGGCGUAAAGGGUGCGUAGGCGAUUAACUACUUUUGGCAGAAAUAAUAUCGUUAACGGUAUUGCAAGUCUUAAAGGACGUUAAUUAGAAAUGGACGGAGUUGGCGGAAUUACUAAUGUAGAGGUGGAAUACAACGAUAUUAGUAGGAAUACCGAUGGCGAAGGCAGCUUUCUAGGACAUUUGACGCUGAGGCACGAAAGCAUGGGGAGCAAACGGG
rnacentral:rRNA from 1 species